ACCAUGCUUAGCUCAGUUGGUAGAGCACAAGACUCUUAAUCUCAAGGUUGUGGGUUCGAUCCCUGUACAGUGAUA